UACGUAUGGUGCAAGCGUUAUCCGGAUUUACUGGGUGUAAAGGGAGCGCAGGCGGCACGGCAAGCCUGAUGUGAAAGCCCGCGGCCCAACCGCGGGACUGCAUUGGGAACUACCGGGCUGGAGUGCCGGAGAGGUAGGCGGAAUUCCUAGUGUAGCGGUGAAAUGCGUAGAUAUUAGGAGGAACACCAGUGGCGAAGGCGGUCUGCUGGACAGCAACUGACGCUGAGGCGCGAAAGCGUGGGGAGCAAACAGG
rnacentral:rRNA from 1 species